rnacentral:rRNA from 1 species
AACGUAGGUACCGAGCGUUAUCCGGAUUUACUGGGCGUAAAGCGUGUUCAGGCGGCCUGGCAAGUCGGGCAUGAAAUCUACUCGGCUCAACCGGGAGAGGCUGUCCGAUACUGCUGGGCUUGAGGACGGUAGAGGGUGGUGGAAUUCCGCGUGUAGUGGUGAAAUGCGUAGAUAUGCGGAGGAACACCAGUGGCGAAGGCGGCCACCUGGACCGUCCCUGACGCUAAAACACGAAAGCUAGGGUAGCGAACGGG